GCUUUAGAAAAUAACUCAAAAGUAAAGCUUCUCAAACUCACAAACUCAUAAGUUAUGCAACACACUUUGCAUCUCCUUAUAUAACACUUAACUUAUCAUAAACUCAUUAGGAAUAAUACAACUAGCAAUUUCCUAAUCCUUUUAGCAAACCAUAUCUUAGUAGGAUUACAAAACUUGCACCUUAAACUAUUUCAAGCUUAUCUCAGCACGCACUGUUGCUUACGCGUCUGGAUAAACGCUCCAUGGACCCUCACCGCGGCGAAUUGGAAUGGUGCGGUGACGUUAUGCAUAAAAACCUGUGCGGAUACAACUCUAGUAGCUUUUGGUAAAGAAAAAAAAACUAUUGAU
rnacentral:lncRNA from 1 species